GCAGAACGCGAAGAACCUUACCAGGGCUUGACAUCCCGAGAAUUAAUCCGAAAGGAUUGAGUGCUUUAUUGAACUCGGUGACAGAUCUUGCAUGGCCGUCGUCAGCUCGUGUCGUGAGAUGUUUGGUUAAGUCCAUCAACGAGCGCAACCCUUGUUAGUAGUUGUAUUUUUUCUACUAAGACUGCCCCGGUAACGGGGAGGAAGGAGGGGAUGAUGUCAGGUCAGUAUUAGUCUUACGUCCUGGGCUAGAAACGUGAUACAAUGGCCGGUACAAUGCGCAGCGAAGCCGCAAGGUGAAGCAAAUCGCAUCAAAGCCGGUCCCAGUUCGGAUAAGAGGCUGAAACUCGCCUCUUUGAAGUCGGAAUCGCUAGUAAUCGCAGAUCAGCAUGUUGCGGUGAAUACGUUCCCGGGUCUUGUACACACCG
rnacentral:rRNA from 1 species